rnacentral:rRNA from 1 species
UACAGAGGGGGCAAGCGUUGUUCGGAAUUACUGGGCGUAAAGGGCGCGUAGGCGGCCUGCUAAGUCGAACGUGAAAUCCCCGGGCUCAACCCGGGAGCUGCGUCCGAUACUGGUUGGCUUGAAUCCGGGAGAGGGAUGCGGAAUUCCAGGUGUAGCGGUGAAAUGCGUAGAUAUCUGGAGGAACACCGGUGGCGAAGGCAGCUCGCUGGGACGUAACUGACGCUGAGACGCGAAAGCGUGGGGAGCAAACAGG